rnacentral:lncRNA from 1 species
GAGGACCUUUUCACAGACCUGUACUGAUAUCUCUGUGAGGAUAAGUAACUCUGAGGAGGCUGGCCCUACACCACAGCCUUCUCCUUUAGAGAUUUCUUGGUGUAGAAGUAACCCGAUGCUAACUUCUCUACAGGUUUGAGGUGCCACCUUACAUACAAAAGGAUGGGUGUACACUCUCUUUUCAGAAUAUGGUUCAUCUCAAAGCCCUUUACCCUUUGGAGCCAGGCCUGUUCGAUUUUACAAAUAGCACGUUUUGCUUGUAGUCAGGGUGCUGUGACAACAUGAAAAGUUCAAGCUACCUCCCAGGAUGAGUGCAGGUUUUCCUGGUGACAAAUCUCAGGCAUUCAAAGGUUCUGUUAGCAGUGCCAUACUUGGGUUUACAGAGAUGGUGUGUCUGACUGAGAGCAAAGGAGCCAUACCAGGAAAGUUGAAGCAUAUCUUCAUUUUCAAGUCCAGGCUAAAAUAAGGUCUGAGGAAAAGAAUGAGCUGCGUGUGAAGGGAUAGAAAAAGAAAUCAUGAAAGAUCUGUUUGUCCAGGCCAGUGUUUCACCAUAAGAGAUCACUUUAAAUGAGAUGAAGUAAUUCUUUGCAAUUGCAAAUUUACCUUCCUUGCUUACCACAUUGUUAACUGUAGGAGCUGAUAUCUGGUUCUUCCACUGUUAACUUGNN